AGAGUUUGAUCUUUCCUCACAUUGAACGCUGGCGGAAUGCUUUACACAUGCAAGUCGAACGGGCUUAAAGAGCUUGCUCUUUAAGUUAGUGGCGAACGGGUGAGUAAUAUAUCGGAACGUAUCCAAUAAUGGGGGAUAACUAAGCGAAAGCUUGGCUAAUACCGCAUACGCCCUACGGGGGAAAGCUAGGGACCUUCGGGCCUGGCGUUAAUGGAGCGGCCGAUAUCUGAUUAGCUAGUUGGUGAGGUAAAGGCUCACCAAGGCGACGAUCAGUAGCUGGUCUGAGAGGACGACCAGCCACACUGGAACUGAGACACGGUCCAGACUCCUACGGGAGGCAGCAGUGGGGAAUUUUGGACAAUGGGCGCAAGCCUGAUCCAGCCAUUCCGCGUGAGUGAAGAAGGCCUUCGGGUUGUAAAGCUCUUUCGCAAGGGAAGAACACUUAGUCUCUAACAUAGACUGAGGUUGACGGUACCUUGAUAAGAAGCACCGGCUAACUACGUGCCAGCAGCCGCGGUAAUACGUAGGGUGCGAGCGUUAAUCGGAAUUACUGGGCGUAAAGCGUGCGCAGGCUGUUUUGUAAGUCAGAUGUGAAAUCCCCGAGCUCAACUUGGGAACUGCGUUUGAAACUACAAGACUAGAAUAUGUCAGAGGGGGGUAGAAUUCCACGUGUAGCAGUGAAAUGCGUAGAGAUGUGGAGGAAUACCAAUGGCGAAGGCAGCCCCCUGGGAUAAUAUUGACGCUCAUGCACGAAAGCGUGGGGAGCAAACAGGAUUAGAUACCCUGGUAGUCCACGCCCCUAACGAUGUCUACUAGUUGUUGGUGGAGUAAAAUCAU
rnacentral:rRNA from 1 species